CUCGAGCCGGGAGUGGGAAGAUCCCGCGAACCCGGUAGGAAAAGGGUGUUGGGGUGGGACCGCCGAGGCCAAGGAGCACAGACCCUCGGAAGCCGGGACCGGAGCGGACUGGAAUGAGACUGGAGAACCGCAGCUCUCCGACAACUGUGCGGCCCGGACCACUGCACCUCCCGGGCUCCAGCUUUCCCGUCUGCAAAGUGGGCUUGCGGAGCAGACUCAAUAGCCUUGCACCUUGCCGGUGCUGCCAGCGACGGUGAUUUCAUUCAAGACCGGUCGGGGACCGACUGGCCGCAUCUCAGCUCCGGAAAGACCACCACCUGGAAAAGCUACAAUCGUUGAGGGAGAGCAAGACAGGAACAUUCCUCCUUGCGGACAUUUAAAAAUCAACUUUAUAUUAUUGAGGACUCUCCCACCGACCGAACUGAAACUCUGACCUCACUGAACAGCAACUGCCGCUCCUCCUCCCACAGCGCCACACACCUCUUCUCAUUAGUACAGUCUCCAGCAGAGGGCAGCAGAGACCACAGCACAGCCCCAGGAGGCCAAAGACCACAGAGAAACAGCAGUCCAUGGCCAGAGGGGCCUUGAAAGUCACCAUCACCGUUAAGGAGCAAGUGGGGAGAUUGAAGGCCAAAGAGGAACGUGAGUACUUCCUUGCCUUUACCUGACUCACUUGUUCUCAUCCUUGCACAUUCAGCUCAAUGCCCUUUCUCUGGGAUUCUUUCCAGCCUCUGUCCUUCCCUCCCCAUCCAACUCCUACAUAUGAAAGAUUAACUUGCCUCUCUCCCUACACUCUGAGUUCUUCAAGGACUGGGGCCAGGUCAAAAUCAUCUUUGUGAUCCCAGGGCCUGGCACAAAGUGAGUGCUCCAUGAAUGUUACAGUGAAUGGCUGCUACCUUGUGCUGUGCUCAGUCUGGACCCAACGCACUCCUGGGCCCAGCCCUACAGCCAGCAGGACACAAGUUCCCCUGUUGCCUCCAGGGAAGUACAAGAGGACCAACAGCCCUCAUUCAUCCUUUUCUUCAACAAGUACUCUUUUGUGUUCAGCUGGUGCCCAGGAUCAGAGGAAAUGAGUUGAUGAUUGGUGGCAACUACUAACUUCUAUUGAAUGAACCCUACCAGUCCCUCUUUUAAGACCUUUGGAUUGGCCCUGGCUGGUGUAGCUCAGUGGAUUGAGCAUGGGCAGUGAACCAAAGGGUCACAGUUCGAUUCCCAGUCAGGGCAUAUGCCUGGGUUGCGGGCCCAGUCCCCAGUGGGGGCCUCUGAGAGGCAACCACACAUUGAUGUUUUACUCCCUCUCUUUCUCCUUCC